UACAGAGGUCCCAAGCGUUGUUCGGAUUCACUGGGCGUAAAGGGUGCGUAGGCGGUCGGGUAAGUCUGAUGUGAAAUCUCACAGCUUAACUGUGAAACUGCAUUGGAUACUAUUCGGCUUGAGAGUUGGAGGGGGGACUGGAAUUCUUGGUGUAGCAGUGAAAUGCGUAGAUAUCAAGAGGAACACCAGUGGCGAAGGCGAGUCCCUGGACAACUUCUGACGCUGAGGCACGAAAGCUAGGGGAGCAAACAGGAUUAGACUACCGUAGUCAGUC
rnacentral:rRNA from 1 species